UUUAGUUUCACAAGCCCUGUCAAGGACCACACGUGAAACCUGAGCAUGUGGUAAAUAAGUCCCUCGCACAGCGGCGGCGGGGAGUUGUGAUCAUCAGUUCUUUGGUCACAAGCCAGCAGGGCCAGUGCCCCCGGCUUUGCAUUCGACACCCCCAGGUGACAGACUUCCAUGGCUGGCAAGUGUCUGCAGCCUGGAUCACUUGUCCCCCGCGGGGUCAAAACACAGACUGACACCGAUUUUCCUAUUUCACUCUACCACUUGUCCUAACUUGAUCCGACAAAUAUGUGUGAAUAUCCAGUAUUUAUUUAAUAACGUGACAAAAUCUGUAACAAUUGAAAUCACAUGGCCAGAUACAAUAUCAUAAUUAAAUGCAUGAAUGUCUGCUUGUCUUUUGAGAGUUGAUCUGUUAUGCUCUGACCAACCAAUCAAAGGACAGGAAAAAUGAGAACCUUAUUUUGGGCCAAGGCCAAAUUUGAAAUCUGAUAAACAGUAGUCAGCCAGAACUACUGAUUGUGAAGGCCCUGAAACGUUAACGUUGAUGUGGCAACUCCGAGCAAAACGUUGUCGGCAUCUCAGUAGCUGACAACAAAAUGAAUUGCUAUAUUUUUUUUCCAAGACGUUUGCUGUCCGUCAUCUGAACGCUGACGAUCCUCAAUGCGGUCAGAGAGUUCACAAAUAGUUUGCCGUCUGCACACAGGAGAUCAGAGUGGGUUAGAAAGAUCACAUUCCUCUCCCAGAACACACGAGGAUGGAUAUAAUGCAGGGAGCUCUGCACAUACAUACGUAGGCCCAAACCAGAAAUGGUUAACAAGAGGAAUCAAGACUGACAAAGUCAGCUAUAAAAAUCAUGACAAUUUUUUUUUUAUUUAUUUUUUUUACAGCUGUCAUGUUUGUCAUGUUGCUUUGUGCAACCCUACAGAAUACUUUUUGAUUCUGUACUUCCUCUAUGCCUUUCCUCUGAGGACAUGAAGCCUCAUUUUGUCUCUCGCAGUUGUGCUGAAACUUUGACUUCCAGUCGGAAUUUGAGAGAGAUUAACCCGAAAGCCUAAUAAUAUCCCUAAGGUUUAUAUUUUUGCAUCAUUUUUUCUUUUAGAUAAGCCUCCGCUCACUUGUGACACUUUUAUAUCAAUUCUAGAAAAUAAACAGCUAGGCAUCCUGCUAUUAGUGAAAAACACAGCUGAAAAGAACACAUGAAUAUUAUCUGAGGUCAUCACAUCUGGAAUUCCACAUCUCACAAAUCAUGAUUUGUGAAGUGCAAUGACAGUACAUGCCCCCCUCCCUUCCCACAAUAGCCACUCCUCCCAUUUGGAUGUGCAAUGCUACAUUCCUUGUCCUAAAGUAGCCCUGGACAAUAUGAUUAUGCACAUCCCAUCCUACGGAUUGUUGAAUAACUCUACAGAAGGCUCUUACGGACCUUCUCACGACUGCCCCUGUUUAAAAAAAUGUUUUUUUUGGAACUUUCAGUGAUCAAUGUGAGACAGCGUGAAAGCAAGACGCUGUAAUUCCUCUAAAAUGAUCUGUCAUCUUCUUUCAUCAUUGGGGGAAUGAAGAUAUCGCCCAAGACUUCAAAAUGUCUUUCUUUGGAUUGUUUUUCCGCUUAUGAACUGGCAAAGGGCAUCGGAAUUGAGUGUGAAAUAAUGUCAUCUGGCCCUAAUUAAAGAUAAUUUCAGAAGAAGGAAAAAAAAAACAAAGAACAGCAGUGUGCUCACAGCCCUUAAAUGGAAUUGUUAAGGAUUGAUCAAAACUUCACGUUGUUACUGUGUGUCGUUGGAGCAAAAACCCACAUGAUCUUGGUUAAUUUAAUCAGAUGGGAACACAGUGUCCACAUGAGGCCCCCCGAGCCACGAUGAUCUUAUUGUUCUUCACGUGAGCGUUUUUUUUUUUUUUUUUUUUAAAUAUACUCAGCAUCUAAUUUGAAUUUAUCCAAAGCUAACGGAAACAAUUAAAUGAAUAUAAAAUGUGUCUAGAAAUAAAAGUCUGAUUUUCUCAAAAGAAUUUUUAUAACCACUGUACAAUUGACGACAUCAGAGACGUCCAUCCGUUAUUACAGAGCCUUCACGUCACCACGGCAACCAAAGCGCAGUUUGCAAUUUAAUAAAUUGUAGGGGAAUGGCAGCCCAAUCGCAAUUUCCAACAACAGCUACUUGAGGUUGCGAUGGGAACAUAUUUUCAAGUAAAAGAUUUCACAAUUUCCUCUUCACUUUUCAACGGAGUUAUCCACUCUGACAGAUACAUGUGGCUUCCUUGGUUUAGUUGAUCUAAACAGAUUAUAGGAAUUACACACUUGUCAUCUCAGAAGAAGCCUUGUACUACUGCAACUACCAACGGUAUGGCCACAUUUGUUCAAUCGCACAUAAAAUAAGUGGAAGGAUAGAUGGGAAAGAAAAAGGCACCUUACUUUGUGUAUUCAAUGUACUUUUUCCUGACGCAUCAUUGCGGUCCAACUUGGAUAAAAAAAAGCUAAGAUGAGGGAAAAAAAUAAAUAAUUUUGAAAACCUUUCUGUGUUAUUUGCUUCUUUUAACAGACAAACCAUCAAGUUUUGAUAAAACAGCUUUAUUUAUUUUCAAAAGUUUAUUCCCUCCAUUUUGUAGCCUUUCUUCUGCUUAGAUUGCUUUGUACUUCCAAUACGUGUCUGUUUUUUUAUUUCUUCAUUCUCUAUAUGUUGCCAUGUCUAUCAAAUCUGCCCAGGGCCUUCAGAAUCAGCAGUGCUGGCCCAUGUAAAAUGGGACAAAUCUGCCAAAACCACAGUGGUUGCCUUUUUUAACUCGCAAUUCAAUUGCCAGGUCGUACGAGUUGCUUCAUCCCAAAACAUACAUUUGUAAAGAUGGCUUUCCAAGACUACAAACAUGUAAAACCGCAAGUCAGUCUUCUUUGUGUUUAUUCAGUUUAUUCAGGCUUAACUAGAAAAUAGUCUUUGUUUUGAAAUAGUAGAGCAGAAUGAAAUGACUCCUUCAAAUCAGUCAGCAGCUUCUCGGAGGAAACGCAACAGUGAGAGCAGUGAAGACAGCAUGUGCUCGCAUCCUAAAAUGAUAUCUGGCGCUCUGUGUGUCUUAUGAUGACAACCACGUGUCAGUCCCGUGGCGCCUUUGCAGUAGUUGUACAACCGUUGAGGUGAAUCAUUUUCAUGUUUCUCUCAAGACACAAAGAAACAAAAGCCUGUUAAAACAACAAAUCCUGGGUGACAUACUUUUUAUGUACCAUAUUUUUCGGACUAUAAGGCGCACCGGACCAUAAGGUACUCCUUCAAUGAAUGGCCCAUUUUAAAACGUUGUCCUUAUAUAAGCACCGGACUAUAAGGCGCACCAUUAAUGCAUCAUGUCAGAUUUUGAAUCCAAAUCAAAUCAUUCUCUAUUUUAGCUUCUUUAUUUCAACUUCAGAACAACUAAUUACUUUAUAAUCACAAAAUAAUGAUCCAUAGUCUUUUUGAUUUAUGAUUGAUAGUCUUCAGCGUGCCAAUUAUGAUUGAUUUCAUGACACAAUGCUUCGGGCCAGUUUAAAUUUAGGAAUUUGGUCCAUAUAUAAGGCGCACCGGACUAUAAGGCACACUGUCGGCUUUUGAGAAAGUUUUAGGUAUUUAAGUGCGCCUUAUAGUCCAGAAAAUACGGUAAUUAUUGUUUAUUUUAUAAAAAUAAUCACCAAAAUAUCACAACAUUGCAAAACCAAUCAAAUGUAUACAUUUUAUUGACGUGUUGAAAGAUUAAUUUCUUCACUCCAAGUGUGUUUGGAAUAGUUUUAAGCAACAGGAAAUAAUAAACACAAUAGUUGUGUGUCACAGACUACAAACAAAAUAACUGCAAAAUUUAUGACUACUAUUGUCCUUGCCACUGGCACAGCCAAAUUUUCCUUGCUGGUUAUUGACAGAGCCAGCGUACUGGUAAUUAAUUUGGUCCUGUCAGGUGAGUGAUAACGUGCAACUAUUUUGCCACCAUGGAUAUGAAAUACAAAACAACAAUUAUUAUUCAUCCAAUGUUUUCUGGCAAAGCAUUAUCUGGAUUUACAGUUCCGUCAAUGUGAUUAGUGCUUUACAUUAGGAAUGGGCGAGUACCUAUACCACGUGUGGUUUAGUAGAGAUAACUGGCUGGUAUCGGUACUCGCAAUAUCGGCUGCCCUCCUGUGGUGUUUUUUUUUUUCAGACAUGAGACAUAAGAAAUGAAAAAUCUGAUCAUUUUUGUGAAAGCUCAUGAAUCAAAAUCUGAAAGUUUCAUUGUUUGUCGUAUUUCAAACCCAUUGUGGAGGUAAACGCUUAAAGGCAAAAAAUACUUGCAGCUGCAGUUGCACAUAAUACGUGGCAAAAGUAAUUUGGAGCUGUUUCCACAGUGGCAGAUAAAACCAAAUUAUUAGUGAGCCUGUGUAUCUACUUGUCAAUGCUUUAAGCUUGCUGCAGUUCUACAUGGAAAACAGUCAUAUCACCUUUGCUAUGUAACAGAUGUUGACAUGAAAUGAAUCAAGAGUCUGUGUUAAGCAUGUGAAUAUUCUUACAGAAGGACUGUAAUUUGAAACCAUCUGACCCAAGUUUACAGUCAGCACAUAGUACGUUAAUGAUCAACUAGAGUACUGUGUAGCUCCAGGCUCAGUGGAAAUGACACAAUAUAUUAUUAAUCCAACUUUAUGCAUUGCUAUUUGUGUUGUGAUUCACGGUAUUGUCCUUUUUUUGUUUAUGAAUCAUGCAAAAAUGCAGAAUAUAUAGUAGGUGAAUGUCUUUCAUCUUUCAUGGUGUCUGAGGUCAAUAACAGUAAUGUAUUCAUUUAAAAAUCUCUGUGGUGUACAAACAUCAGUUUUCUAUAUAGUAGUAUGUAUUGCAGUUGUGAGUCACGGGGAGGUGGAACUAAUCCCAGCUGACCGUUACAAAUUUGAUUCAAGCUUUUUUUCCCCUCUAAAUCGGAGACAAACAUUUAACCCUCGGCGAAAUUCGACACGUACUAAUCAAUCUACUUGUUCAAUUGCCAUGCUAAGUUGUUUUUCUUUUCUUUUCUUUUUUCUUUUCAUCGGAUCCACACACAAAUGGGCCAAGAGAGAAUCCUGGCAAGGCUUAAAAAAAAAACUUUUUAAAGUGUGUCACAGUCGUACAAAACAAACCUGUUAAGCCGAAGAUGACCGGUUGGUAAAUUAUUUAUUUUAGCAAGUCUUGUGGUGCCACUUGAGAGACAAUGUGACAGAUUCAUUGAUAAAUUACACACUUAACAAAAAUAAAAGUUUUUAUGUUAUCAGAUGUCAAAUGAGAAUCAAAAUAUGCACGGUUAAAUGACCACUAUUGUGCAAAGUACUAAUACAAUCAUAAACCAUACUGCUGAUUUAUAAUGACCACCGCACAUGUACCCACAUGCACGAUCAUGUUACAUAAGCGACUGUUCACUAGUUAAAUCAUUCAACAAAAACAAACUAGCUUCACAUGAGGUUCAUCUGCAGCAUCAGUAAGCUUUCCAGCCCGAAUAACAUGCUGGCUAGAUGAAACUUCGAACUAACCUAACAACAGCACUAAGUUUCCACCAGUGAGUCACCCCGCUCACUCUUUGUUUGAUCUUCUGCCCUCUGGGAAGAGGUACAGGAGCACCACCAAACUCUCCAACAGCUUCAUACUCCAGGCUGUUAGGAUCCUGAACUCUCUCCCCCUUUCUGCGUAGCGUCCUGUAUUUUGCGCUAUGCUUACUGUCUGCUGUAUGCACACUAGCUCAGUUUUGCUCCUCUUAUUUAUUGUGUUAUUUGUUUAUUAUUUAUUCAUGACUCAUAUUUAUUAUUUAUUAUUUAUUGUCGGCGAAGUUAAAAAUGCUGAAAUGAAUAUUUAAAUGUUCUAAUCGUAUUAUAUUUAUUAAUAAUUUCAUAUCAUACGUAGAAUCAAAUGAUCUGUUUAACUAGAAUUGCCGACAAUUCUAGCAAAGGUUGCCAAGUUCGUGAGAUCGACAUUUAAGACAAAAAAGUACUUGUCAAAAAUUGUCUUCGGGCAUUAUUUCAAGAAGCAAAAAAACAAGUAUGACAUGUUCACGUGGGCCAAAGGAUUUUUUUUUUUUUUUUUUUUACUGUUUUGGUGUGCUCCCGUCAAAAAUAUAUUGCUGUCGCAUCGUUUCAAAAGGAGAAUAUUGGGCUGAUGUGUUAGUUGUUGACAUACAAUAUGGCUGUAUUUGCAGCCAGAAUUUCACCUACAUAUAACCCCAGACUGUCAAAAAAUGUCAAAUGCCAAACUACCUCAUUCUUUCAGUUUUGAGAGAUGUUUUUACUUUACAAGACAUCAUUGAUUUUCCUAACAUUUCAACAUUUGCUGAAGCAAAAACUGUGAGCACACAACUCUGGUAUGACCCUGGUUUUUUUUUUCUUUUGGACAGUUCUACUCUCCCAGCAAUGCACUUCGGAGUGUGUGGUUCCACGGUUCCAGCAGAAGGAAUUAACAGAUCGAGUUGAUUUGACCUAAGAGAUUAUGCUUCUUUUGGAUCCGUGUCACAACAUGACACAGACCACUCACCUCGGUAGUAGUCCGGCUGCAGAUAUUUUUGGUUCACAUGGGGCCGGUUACGUAAGGAUCCCAAUUCAAUUAGGGAGGAAACUCAGCUAACUGCUUUGUAUUGUUUUAAUCAAAGGUUCUGCCUUGAGAAAUUUGUGUCUAACCUAAUUUGACCUUAAAUUGAAAAAUAAAGUAAAGAUAUGUUCAAAUCUAAUGCAAGGAAAGUGCUUUAAAUUAUUUCCCAAUAAAUUCUCAGUAGCUCAAAACUCAGGUUUUAUACUUUCCCAUUCCAGCAGUCUUGCUUGUCUUUAUUACAGGAAAAGAGCCUUCAGAUCCUUUUUUCUUUUUUCUUUUUUUUUUUCGAUCAAACAUCUUUUACCAAAUUAGAGGGACUCUUUCGAAGGCGUAACAAGUUAUAAGAAUGACGUAGGAUUUUCUAAAUUCAUUUGGUAAAUAACAUUUACUAUGUUCUUCACUUAUUAAACUUUGACUUCAAUACAAUAACUUUUAUUAGUCCCACAACGGGGAUAUUUGCGGUAGUAAAAAUGUUGUAUAAUAGUAUUAAAUACGUACUUACAAGUAAUUUGCAGUAAUUUAAUAACGGAAUAAUAUGACUUUGUCCUCGUAUGAAAAAAAAACCUUUAUUCUCGGGUCAUCGUGGUUGUUACAGUGUACUGGUUGUAGAAUUAUAAAGGGGUCCUUAGAAAUUUCUCUGGCCCCAAAAUGUUUGAGAACUACGUAUGACCUACUAAAAUCAGUUAUUGAAAAUGUGUCCUUUGUUGCCCUCUAUCGGAAGUUUUAAAUCAUUAUCAUUUGGGGGUUGCACUCGAAGUCGAUUGACGUCACUUAAUAUUCAAGUUGAUUCAAAUUGAGGCAAUUGAUGACUAUCAUAUUGUCUUUUCUCUAUUUUUCUGAGUACUCCCAAAUGAUUGUGGUGAGUUUCAAAAUAAGCAGUACUACGGAGGAGUAUCAGAGCUGCAAAUAAAAUAAAAUAAAUCAUACUAUAUUUUAAAUAGAUACUAUGAAAAUAUGAUAUAGAAAUACCCCUUUUCAAACUGCUAAAACAAAUCUCCAUAAUUAUUUUAGCAGUCCAAUUCAGAAAGUGCAACUCAUCCAGAUGUAUUCAAAUUACUAACUGAUCAAUCAAGGUCUAACCAGAUGGGGGCGCUCUCUGCAGCAGACACCAUUGGAACUUUUGCAAACUACAUUUUGUACUUUCCUCUUUCAUUGAAAAUGUUUUGUGCUUGUUCGUUUCCGGUACCUUGCGGUGAAAAGAAAUCUGAGUUCUGUUUUUGAAAUAGAAGCGUGGGAUCAGGUUCUUUCUGUCAGAUAGUUGAAUCUUGAAGUGAACAGGCAUGCUUGGACAGGAAUGGACGGACUGAGGUGUGCAUCAUAGGGAGUGACCUGGAGAAAA